GGGCACGCUGCUGUCUUUUGCGUGGCGAUUCCGGGAGUUUUCCUGUCCACCAACACUGCUCCUCAGUUCCUGCGGUUGGAUUGUAAGCUGCCAUAGUGCACUGUGCAUUUCCAAGAGCAAGAAAAGAUGGAUACAUUUCUGAGGCAGAGGGAGGAGACCAGCUAACAAUUUUCCUGUUGUUCACAGAAGUCUGCUUCAGCCGACCCUUGAAAGGCUUGGAUCUCUUGAACUCUGGAAUCAUGUAUCCAAAUUGCAAUUUGGACAUUCCCACAGAUAUUUCAAUGACUGCAGUUUUACUAUUGCCUAAUGAUCAUGAGAACAUGUGAUUCAUGUGGAAGAGCCUAACAUCUUAGGCAUUUCAUUGGAGUGCAAACAGAAUGCAACAUAUCUACUGAACUGUCAAAAUUUGUUAAUCUCAUACAGUGGUUCAGGAGUGGGUGUCAUUUGAGGAUGUGGCUGUGCAUUUCACCUGGGAGGAGUGGAGGGACUUGAAUGAUGCUCAGAGGAAUUUGUACAGGGAUGUGAUGCUGGAGAUCUUCAGCAGCCUGUUAUCACUGGGGUACUGCAUUAGUAAACCUGAGGCGAUCCUCAAGUUGGAGAAAGGCGCAGAGCCAUGGAUAAUAAUAGAACACCCAAACCAGAGCCUCCCAGUAAGAGGAUCGCGCUGUCACCGCACUCAACCAGUGAGCGCACCGGCCAUUCCUAUAUAGGAUCCGAACCCGUGGCAGGAGUGUCGCUGCUCUCCCAGUGCUGCACUCUCCCAAGUGCACCACGGGGUCGGCCCUGUUAAGAAUUCUUAAUGGAAUCCAACAUAAAUGGAUAGGGAAUAUGUACAUUUAGUAUAAAAAAUAGUUUGGUUUGACUUACUUCAGGAUUUUUGACAUUAACAGCCACUCUAACUUCUGAAUAUUUUGUUAGAUACAUUAAGUCUAAAGUACUGCACUACACAGAUUAUUUUAAAAUAAAAGAUGACCAGUAAGUUAAUCUUAACCCUUGACUUGGUGUUUUCAGUACCACCCUCUCCCAAGUGAGCCAUGGGCCACCCGAGAUUUUUUCCUACUCUCCUAUUUUAGGGAGAUUUGUAUUACAAAACUAUCUGAGUAAAGGCAAUUUUUUCCUCAUGUUUGAAGCUAAUGCAGAGUGAGUCUAUGGGUUGCAUAGAAACGUUUCUAUGUGAAUGCACAAAUUCACCGGCACGUAAUUGUAAACUUGGAACUUAUUUAAACAGCUGUCAGCAAUAGUGGUUUUCUUAUUUUACUCAGGGAAAAGCAGUGUCUGGAAGGUAUACUUAUAUUUUAUACCUAUUCCUCAUAUUUUUAAAUGGUCCCAAAUCAUAGGUAUGAGUGUGUACAACAUGACCUAUAGCUAAGAAAUCUUUUGUGUUUCUAUUUACAGUAAUGGAGUGCUAUUUUGAAUCUUGCCACUAAGAGGUAAAUCCUGACUCCGUUUGUGUAUUGCCUUGUGCAUGGCUGUGCUCGUGUGUAGGCCGCCAGACCUAGAGAUGGCCCCAGAGCCUGUGUUCACCUAAGGAGUCUUCUUGAGUCUGUGGUGGAUCCCUGUCUGCCCUCAGAGCCCAGGACCCAAAGAGGGGUAUGAGCAAGUAAGACAAAAUGGUGUCCAGCAUGAACCUGAGGGGUGUGGUUGGAAUCAGGGUCUCUGGGAUCUUCUUGGGCACGAUGGUCAUUUCAGUAUGCCACAAUUCUGUCCUCAAAUCUCUGGCAACAGUGGGCAGAGAGUACAGCACCAUCAUUUAUUUCUCAUUCUUCACUCUAAUCUUUAUUAUUUUCUUCUUUCUCUUUUGGGAGGUUUAAUUUUCAUCCUUUAUCUAGGUUUUUAGUUAAAGGUUAGUUUAUUGAUUUCAGAUCUUUCCUUUCUAAAAUGUAUACCUUUAUAAAUAUAAAUUUUACU